UGUGUGGGCACACGAGAAAGGAUAAGAUUAGGAAUGAGGAUAUUCGAGGUAAAGUAGGAGUAGCCGAAAUUGAAGGAAAGAUGAGAGAAAAUUGGUUACAGUGGUUUGGACAUGUGCAAAGAAGACCUACUGAUGCUCUGGUUCAAAGAUGUGACUACGGGACAGGUUCAGGGCCGAAGGGGUAGAGGAAGACCUAGGAAAACUUUGGAAGAAACCAUAAGAAAAGACUUAGAGUACUUGGAUCUAACGGAAGACAUGACACAGAAUCGAGCGCAAUGGCGUUCUAGGAUUCAUAUGGCCGACCCCACUUAAUGGGAAAAGACUUUGUUGUUGUUGUUGUUUGUAUUUGAUCUCCUCACUGUCAUCCAAGACACCAGUUUCUCCUCUUCCUCUGUAAAUCCCCAUCACAUUGCAUACCUGGCCUGCACGUGAUUCUUCUAAUGUUUAGCUUUGGAAAAGAUUGGUCGCAUAUAAUGCCUUACAGGUAAUAAAAUUGAUUUUUUAGUUUGUUUGGUUUGAGUGCAAAAGUAACACCAAUUAUUUGGAACCUUAGGGGGUGUUUGUUUGACCUUCUUAGGUGGGACUGGACUAGACUAGACUAGACUAAUUGCUAGUGUAGUCCCAUGUUUGGUAUGCACAAGGGUUAGGUUUAUUGGGAAGAUGGGACUCGCUCGGAUUAAACCCUUCGGUAGGAGUUCUAAGCUAAGAACCCCAAAUUCCCCCGGACUCGUAAGACCUCCUGCGAGAGAGAACCUCGCUCAUCCUGCGAGAGAGAGAGUCGCACAUCUUUAGCUCCUCGCCCUGCUCCUUCCUUGCCCUGCUCGCCCUCAUCUGCUCCUCUUGUCAGUUUAUUCAAUUGGAGUUGCAGAUUCAGAAAACAGAACUUGCUUUGUGAAAAGAAGGUUUCAUUCUCAUCUAUUUCUUUUUUGAGUUUUCUUUUUACUAGUUUUCUUUUAUUGCUGCACCCAUAUGCCUGCACGAUACAUGUAUGCACUCACUCCUAUAUAAAAAAUAUUACAGACACAACUUGAUGUCCCUUGAGUACAGACAAAUGCUCCAUCCAUGCAUGCUGAAUAAUCAUAUACUUGUUCUCUCUUGAAAACUUUAGGGUUAAAAUGCAUUUGAAAAUGCAGGCAGGAUGAUGUAAAAGUUUAAUGGGUGAUUGGCAGUCUGAUCAGGGUACAGAAAAUGUUGGGAUAUUGAUGUGCAUUGUUUCCAUGAUUUUUUUUUCUCUAAAGCCCAGGAGAUCCUGCCUAAGAUCUCCCUGACCCAAUGGAACAUGGCCCAUCUUGUUUAAUCUGUACUUCUUUAUCUCAUUUGGAAGGAUCCCAUUUUUUUCUUUGUUAUUAUGUAUUUUAAAUACUAUUGUUAAUGUAAUUUUGCACAUUCCAAGCUUCUCUUCUAUGAAGAUGUAUUUGGAUUUUAUGUCAUGCACAAUUACGUAUC